UAUCUUGAUCAUUUUCCGAUUUGUUGGGAGACAAAUGGUGUCUCCAAAGAAAGUACAUGUGCAGACAACGUGACACUUUGGACUGCGGAAAAUUUCACAAUCCGUUAUCAAACUAUGUCACAGAAGUGGUAAGGGACUAGUGUGACAACUGAAUGGUAUCUUUUUGUAAUGUUUUUGACCAGGGGUGGGUAUUUCUUUUUUAAUUGAUAUUUGAGGUUGGGUAAUCAAAUAUUUUACUUUUU